GCCAGCUUAGCUCAGUGGUAGAGCAACUGAUUUGUAAUCAGUCGGUCGUCGGUUCGACUCCGACAGCUGGCU
rnacentral:tRNA from 1 species